AAGUCGAACGAUGAACCUGUGCUUGCACGGGGGAUUAGUGGCGAACGGGUGAGUAACACGUGAGUAACCUGCCCUUGACUUCGGGAUAAGCCUGGGAAACUGGGUCUAAUACUGGAUACGACCUCUCAUCGCAUGGUGUGGGGGUGGAAAGUUUUUGCGGUUUUGGAUGGACUCGCGGCCUAUCAGCUUGUUGGUGAGGUAAUGGCUCACCAAGGCGACGACGGGUAGCCGGCCUGAGAGGGUGACCGGCCACACUGGGACUGAGACACGGCCCAGACUCC
rnacentral:rRNA from 1 species